ACUGGCUGCCAAUGUGAUUUGUACCUUACCUCCAGAAUGGGAUACUUCUUUACCCAAGUGCUGUUUGCUGGAUCUGGAAUGGUUCUGCUAUACCAUUGAGGUUUGAGAGUAGACAGGAGAGUAAAUGCCCUACAGAUAAGAAAACAGUUACAUUUAGUUAAAUAUGUCUACAAAGACAGGUGCACAGUCUUUCAAUGCAGUUAAUUCAUGGGAGAAGAAUCUUUUGUUCGGAAAGCAAAUUGCAAUCCCUCAAAAAAAGCAUUAGCUAAGGCUUCCUUGGAUUGGUGGCAUGCUGCGGCCACUUAGAAUUUGCUAAAUAAACUAAAAACAAAAUUUGUUUUCAUUUAAUUUUUAGCGGUUUGUCACUAUCUAGCCAUGUAUUAAUUCAGCAAAUAGCAUUAAACUAAAUAUGUGACCAGUAGGGUGGCACAUGCUGGAAAUAGAGCCAAGUAGAAGGCAUUGUUCAUAGACCUGGGGAUCUUACUAAUGAGCUAAUAAAAAUAUUUACAGUUUAUGAUAAAAUUGUUACAAUGAAGGUUUAAGUAGGAUAAGAGUAAUAACUUGAAUAUAGUGUUUAAAAUGCUAUGAAAAAGGUAUUCUAGAGAAAUAUCUGUUAACAGUGGUUAUACUAUUAACAUAGUAACAUAAAGAUAGGUCUUUUAAUGUGAUGAGGAAAAAUUCAAGAAACUUAUAAAUGCACAUUAUUUAAACCAAUAAGACUGAUAAACUUUGAUGAGAAAGGUUAGGUCCUGGUUCUCAGCCUUCCUAAUGCUGCCACCCUUUAAUACAGUUCUUUAUGUUGUAGUUACCCCAAUCCAUGAAAUUAUCUUGUUGCUACUUCAUAACUAUAAUGUUGUGCUGUUAUGAAUCAUGUAAAUAUCAGAUAUGCAGGAUAUAUGACAUGCAACCACUGUGAAAGGGUUAUUCAACACCCCUCCCCCAGGGGGCUGUGACCCAUAGCUGAGGACCACUGUGUUAGAUGGAUUCGCUAUCUGGCAAUAGUGGGUAGUAGUCGUUUGGAUGUGAUUCUCUUUGACUCCUGAGAUAAACUUUAUCGAAGUCUUUUUAGAAAAUUAUUUGUUUUUGCCUUCUUAUGUGUAAGAGUGUUUUGCCUGGUUCCUCCAGAGGUCAGAAGAGGGCACCAGAUCCCCAGGAACUAGCGUAACAGAUGGCUAUGAGCCGCUAUGUAGGUUCUGGGAAAUGAACCUGACCCCCAUACAAAGAGCAACUAGUGCUUUCAAGUGCUGAGCCAGUGUCUCUAGCCCCUUCCAAAGUAGUUUUUUUGUUGUUGUUGUUUUUUUGUUUUGUUUUUUUUUGAGACAGGGUUUCUCUGUAUAGCCCUGGCUGUCCCGGAACUCACUUUGUAGACCAGGCUGGCUUCAAACUCAGAAAUCCACCCGCCUCUGCUUCCUGAGUGCUGGGAUUAAAGGCAUGCGCCACCAUGCCCAGCUCUUAAAGACCUCUACUUUGAGGCUCUUUUGAUAGAUCUGCCAGACAAAGUGCACUAGCUGACAGAAUACUGAGCUAGUUCUAUUUGGUACCUAUUACUUGGCAUCUGAAGACAUCUUUGUGUUGAAAAUGAACUGAUUAUUUUUCUUUUACAAUGUAGUUUUUUUUAAGAUUUACUUAUUACUAUAUCAAAGUACACUGUAGCUGUAUUCAGAUCUCAUUAUGGAUGAUUGUGAGCCACCACGUGGUUACUGGGAUUUGAACUCAGGACCUUUGGAAGAGCAGUCGAUGCUUUUAACCACUGAGCCAUCUCUCCAUCCCAAUGUAGUUCUUUUUUAAGACUACGCUUAAAAAGGAUUUAAAUUAUUAUUUUGUAUUGGUGUGGGUUUGCAUGUGCUAUUAUGCAUGUGAAGUCAAAGAACAACUUGGUAGUGGGUUCUAGAGAUCAAAAGUCAUCAGCCUUGGUAACAAGUGCCUUUACCCACUGAGAUCUAUCUUGUCAGCCCAUUUUUUUAUCAAAUAAAUAGAAUUAAAGUCACCUAUCGUUUUGUUCCCAAAUAUAAUCACCAUUUAAUACUGUGUAAUGUAUCUUUGGAGCAGAGCGCUCAUUGCCAUUGACUUAUUUCCUCCUUUUUCUACAGUUCAGGAUCUUGCUUUAUUGAAAUAACAGUAAGUUCAGCUAAAAGACUACAGUGUUAAUCCAUCUUGCCUCACCAGGUUCUGUCUAUUGAGAUUUAACUAAAAGUAUCAUGUACAACUUCUUCAAAGCUCCUGAAAGGGGACGUAUUGUCACUCUUUUCCUAUUUCCCUCGAUUGUAGAAUAUAGUGGCACACAGCUGUGAGAUCACAGAGUGAAAGCUCACAAGGAAGCUAUGGGAUGAUAUAGUGCAACAUCUCAUCCAAGUCAGGAUAGUGCACUAGGAAAAUUGUCCGGGCCAACCAUGGAGCCACAAAAGCAACCCAUUACCUAGGUUUCUUUAUCCAGCUGAGAACCUGCUAUGACAGCUUACAUGGAUUUUGGCUUUGGGGAUUUUAAAAUGUAAACUUUUAAAAUUUUUGAUAUGCAUUCAGCCACAAUGGUUGAAUAAAUUUAUCCUAUCACUGC
rnacentral:lncRNA from 1 species